AGUGAACGCUGGCGGUAGGCCUAACACAUACAAGUCGAACGGCAGCACAGUAAGAGCUUGCUCUUACGGGUGGCGAGUGGCGGACGGGUGAGGAAUACAUCGGAAUCUACUUUUUCGUGGGGGAUAACGUAGGGAAACUUACGCUAAUACCGCAUACGACCUACGGGUGAAAGCAGGGGAUCUUCGGACCUUGCGCGAUUGAAUGAGCCGAUGUCGGAUUAGCUAGUUGGCGGGGUAAAGGCCCACCAAGGCGACGAUCCGUAGCUGGUCUGAGAGGAUGAUCAGCCACACUGGAACUGAGACACGGUCCAGACUCCUACGGGAGGCAGCAGUGGGGAAUAUUGGACAAUGGGCGCAAGCCUGAUCCAGCCAUACCGCGUGGGUGAAGAAGGCCUUCGGGUUGUAAAGCCCUUUUGUUGGGAAAGAAAAGCAGCAGGUUAAUACCCCGCUGUUCUGACGGUACCCAAAGAAUAAGCACCGGUUAACUUCGUG
rnacentral:rRNA from 1 species